rnacentral:rRNA from 1 species
UACGUAGGUCCCGAGCGUUGUCCGGAUUUAUUGGGCGUAAAGCGAGCGCAGGUGGUUUAUUAAGUCUGGUGUAAAAGGCAGUGGCUCAACCAUUGUAUGCGUUGGAAACUGGUAGGCUUGAGUGCAGGAGAGGAGAGUGGAAUUCCAUGUGUAGCGGUGAAAUGCGUAGAUAUAUGGAGGAACACCGGUGGCGAAAGCGGCUCUCUGGCCUGUAACUGACACUGAGGCUCGAAAGCGUGGGGAGCAAACAGG